GCAGUCGCCACGGGAAUACGGAGGGUGCAAGCGUUAAUCGGAAUUACUGGGCGUAAAGCGUGCGCAGGCGGUUCGUUAAGACAGAUGUGAAAUCCCCGGGCUUAACCUGGGAACUGCAUUUGUGACUGGCGAGCUAGAGUAUGGCAGAGGGGGGUAGAAUUCCACGUGUAGCAGUGAAAUGCGUAGAGAUGUGGAGGAAUACCGAUGGCGAAGGCAGCCCCCUGGGCCAAUACUGACGCUCAUGCACGAAAGCGUGGGGAGCAAACAGGAUUAGAUACCCGCGUAGUCCCUGUCUCUUAUAC
rnacentral:rRNA from 1 species